UAGUAACGGCGAGUGAAGCGGGAAGAGCUCAAGAUAAGAAUUGAUACGGGUUAACUCCCAUACCAAAUUGUGAUCUUGCGACUCAGUACUAGGCUAGAAAGACAAGUAAAAGUAUGCUGGAACGCAUCGCCGUGGAAGGUUAAAGCCCUGUUCAUUGCUUGUUAAAUUAAAUCUGCCAGACGGUCUGGGUUCAUCGAGUCGCGUUGCUUGGGAGUGCAGCGCAAAGUGGGAGGUACAGAUCUUCUAAAGCUAAAUAUUGGCGAGAGACCGAUAGCGAACAAGUACCGUGAGGGAAAGAUGAAAUAGCACCUGGAAACGGGAGUGAAAUCAGAGCUUGAAAUUGUUAAGAGACAAAAGCUGGGGAGACUUUCAAAUUGAUUUAUCAAUUAUGCUUUGUGUCUGGAUGUCGAAAGGCUUACUGGAUACGUUUUAAAGCCGUCAACGCGGCUGAUUUGUGAGAUCUCGAUAGUAGUUCAAGGUAGUUUGCAUCACGGCGGCCAGCCGGAUUGAUGUACUCCAAACACAUAUAAGAAUUAUUAUCACACAAGGUAUCUCAAAAUCAGUCGUCUGGAUAAAACCAGAUAGACUCGCUACUGCGGGUGGGGACUGCUUGUAUAAGUCCAUCGCGGUGGGGAAUUCGUUCCACGCCGUAACUAUACAGGUACUAUGCCCGCCCCUGAGGUUUAAGGUCUAGU
rnacentral:rRNA from 1 species